rnacentral:rRNA from 1 species
UACAGAGGUCUCAAGCGUUGUUCGGAUUCAUUGGGCGUAAAGGGUGCGUAGGUGGCGCUGUAAGUCGGGUGUGAAAUUUCGAGGCUUAACCUCGAAACUGCAUUCGAUACUGCGGUGCUUGAGGACUGGAGAGGAGACUGGAAUUCAUGGUGUAGCAGUGAAAUGCGUAGAGAUCAUGAGGAAGACCAGUGGCGAAGGCGGGUCUCUGGACAGUUCCUGACACUGAGGCACGAAGGCCAGGGGAGCAGACGGG